GACAGAGGCCUCAAGCGUUAGGCGGAAUCACUGGGCUUAAAGCGUGUGUAGGCGGAUCGUUAAGUGUCUUGUGAAAUCCCACGGCUCACCCGUGGAACUGCUGGGCAUACUGGCGAUCUUGGGCCAACUAGGGGCAGCCGGAACAAGCGGUGGAGCGGUGAAAUGCGUAGAUAUCGCUUGGAACGCCGAAGGUGAAAACAGGCUGCUGGGGUUGUGCCGACGCUGAGACACGAAAGCUAGGGGAGCAAACGGG
rnacentral:rRNA from 1 species